AACGAACGCUGGCGGCAGGCUUAACACAUGCAAGUCGAGCGCCCCGCCAGGGGAGCGGCAGACGGGUGAGUAACGCGUGGGAACGUACCUUUUGGUUCGGAACAACUCCGGGAAACUGGAGCUAAUACCGGAUAAGCCCUAACGGGGAAAGAUUUAUCGCGGAAAGAUCGGCCCGCGUCUGAUUAGCUAGUUGGUGAGGUAACGGCUCACCAAGGCGACGAUCAGUAGCUGGUCUGAGAGGAUGAUCAGCCACACUGGGACUGAGACACGGCCCAGACUCCUACGGGAGGCAGCAGUGGGGAAUAUUGGACAAUGGGCGCAAGCCUGAUCCAGCCAUGCCGCGUGAGUGAUGAAGGCCUUAGGGUUGUAAAGCUCUUUUGUCCGGGAAGAUAAUGACUGUACCGGAAGAAUAAGCCCCGGCUAACUUCGUG
rnacentral:rRNA from 1 species